AUUGAACGCUGGCGGCAGGCCUAACACUUGCAAGUCGAGCGAGCGGCGGACGGGUGAGUAAUGCCUGGGAAUUGCACAGUCGAGGGGGAUAACAGUUGGAAACGACUGCUAAUACCGCAUACGAUCGGAUUGCCCAGGUGGGAUUAGCUAGUUGGUGAGUUAAUGGCUCACCAAGGCGGCGAUCCCUAGCUGUUCUGAGAGGAGGGUCAGCGACACUUGAACUAAGACACGGUCCAGACUCCUUCGGAAGGCAUCAGUGGGGAAUAUUGCACAAGGGGAGAAACCCUGAUGCGGCCAUGGCGCGUGUGUGAAGAAGGCCGUCGGGUUGUAAAGCACUUUCAGCGAGGAGGCGGUACUCGCAGAAGAAGCACCGGCUAACUCCGUGCCAGCAGGCGGGGUAAUAC
rnacentral:rRNA from 1 species